rnacentral:rRNA from 1 species
AGCGGCGGACGGGUGAGUAACGCGUGGGUAACCUGCCCUAUACACACGGAUAACAUACCGAAAGGUAUGCUAAUACGAGAUAAUAUAAGAGAUUCGCAUGGAUUUCUUAUCAAAGCUGAGGCGGUAUAGGAUGGACCCGCGUCUGAUUAGCUAGUUGGUAAGGUAACGGCUUACCAAGGCGACGAUCAGUAGCCGACCUGAGAGGGUGAUCGGCCACAUUGGAACUGAGACGCGGUCCAAACUCCUACGGGAGGCAGCAGUGGGGAAUAUUGCACAAUGGGCGAAAGCCUGAUGCAGCAACGCCGCGUGAGUGAUGAAGGCCUUCGGGUCGUAAAACUCUGUCCUCAAGGAAGAUAAUGACGGUACUUGAGGAGGAAGCCCCGGCUAACUACGUGCCAGCAGCCGCGGUAAUACGUAGGGGGCUAGCGUUAUCCGGAUUUACUGGGCGUAAAGGGCGCGUAGGUGGUCUCUUAAGUCAGGAGUGAAAGGCUACGGCUUAACCGUAGUAAGCUCUUGAAACUGGGAGACUUGAGUGCAGGAGAGGAAAGUGGAAUUCCUAGUGUAGCGGUGAAAUGCGUAGAUAUUAGGAGGAACACCAGUAGCGAAAGGCGGCUUUCUGGACUGUAACUGACACUGAGGCACGAAAGCGUGGGGAGCAAACAAGGAUUAGAUACCCUGGUAGUCCACGCCGUAAACGAUGAGUACUAGUUGU